UCUCUAACUAAACUAAACCCUGUCUGAACCCUAUCCAAUCCCAAACCCUAUCUCUCGCUGUCUAACAUGGCUCUCUCCAAAGCCUCCUUCUUGACGCACCUCAGAGCCGUGGCGAACCCUCGCCGGCGCCCUCCCCUCUGCGUCUCCAUCCGUCUGCUCUCAUUCUCCUCCCCGGAGGAAGCCGCGGCAGAGCGCCGCCGCCGAAAGCGACAGCUCCGUAUGGAACCCCCGCUCUCAGCCCUGAACCGCACGCAAACCGCGCCAAAACCCCAACAACAAACCCCGUACUACCUUAACCCUAACAACCCGAAGCUACCCGAACACGUGUCCGCACUCACCGGCAACCGUCUCAACCUGCACAACCGCAUUCUCGCCCUCGUCCGCGAAAAUGACCUCGACGAGGCCGCGCUCUACACUCGCCACUCCAUCUACUCCAACUGCCGCCCCACCAUUUUCACUAUCAACGCCGUCCUCACCGCCCUCCUCCGCCAAUCCCGCUAUGCCGACCUCCUCUCCCUCCACCGCUUCAUCACCCAGGCCGGCGUCGUGCCCAACAUCAUCACCCAUAACCUCAUCUUCCAGACCUACCUGGAUUGCCGCAAACCCGAUACCGCUCUCGAACACUACAAGCAGUUCCUCAAUGACGCCCCCAUGAACCCUUCCCCAACGACUUACCGUGUUCUCAUCAAAGGCUUGGUCGAUAACAACAAGCUUGAACGCGCCAUGGAAAUUAAAAGCGAAAUGGAUUCUAGAGGGUUUGCGCCUGACACUCUUGUUUACCACUACUUGAUGUUGGGUCACGCAAGGGUUUCUGAUGGUGAUGGCAUUUUAGGGCUUUAUGAGGAGCUGAGAGGGAGGUUGGGGGGAGUUGUGGAUGACGGUGUUGUUUUCGGGUGUUUGAUGAAAGGUUAUUUUAUUAAGGGGAUGGAGAAGGAGGCAAUUGAUUGUUAUGAGGAGGCUUUGGGGAAGAAGAUGAGUGCUGUUGGGUAUAAUUCAGUGCUUGAUGCACUCUCUAAGAAUGGGAGGUUUGAUGAGGCGUUGAGGCUUUUUGAUAGGAUGAUGAAGGAGCACGAGCCUCCCAAAAAGUUGAGUGUUAAUUUGGGCAGCUUUAAUGUGAUUGUAGAUGGGUAUUGUGGUGAAGGGAGGUUCAAGGAGGCGAUAGAGGUUUUUAGGAAGAUGGGGGAGUAUAGGUGUAGCCCGGAUACUUUGUCGUUUAAUAACUUGAUUGAGAGGUUGUGUGAUGAUGGGAGGGUUGUGGAGGCUGAGGAGAUUUAUGGGGAAAUGGAGGGGAAGGGAGUGAGUCCUGAUGAGUUUACUUAUGGGUUGUUGAUGGAUGCUUGUUUCAGAGAGAAUAGGGCAGAUGAUGCGGCCGGAUACUUUAGGAAAAUGGUGGACUCGGGGUUGAGGCCUAAUCUGUCUGUAUACAAUAGGUUGGUUGAUGGGUUGGUUAAGGUGGGGAAGAUUGAUGAAGCCAAGGGUUUCUUUGAGUUAAUGGUGAAGAAGCUCAAGAUGGAUGUUGCUGGCUAUCAGUUAAUGUUGAAGGUGCUGAGUGACGCGGGCAGGUUGGAUGAAAUGCUUCAGAUUGUUGAUACGUUACUGGAUGACAAUGGGGUUGAUUUUGAUGAGGAGUUCCAAGAGUUUGUUAAGGUGGAGUUGAGAAAAGAAGGGAGAGAAGAGGAGUUGACCAAGCUGAUGGAAGAGAAAGAAAGGCUGAAAGCUGAAGCUAAGGCUAAGGAAGCCGAAGCAGCCGAAGCUGCAAAAAGAAGUGCCAGGGCUGCAGUAGCUUCCUUACUUCCAUCCAAGUUGUUUGGAAACAAGGAAACGGAUUCAGAAUCUAAAUCAGAGGGUGAUAUUCAAGCUCUCAAUAAAGAGAGCUCUGAUGGUACCGCUCCUGAGGCAGAGUUGGCAGAGAGAACGACUGAAACUGAGGGUGAUAAAGCAACUGAACACGAAACAGCUUGAUGUUCCAAUUUCUUGGUGCUUCAUGUGGAGGUAUAACAAUAACCUAAUGAAUGCUUAGAUGAGGAGAUGACAGGUAAGAACUUCGAAGCAAGAUGAAGCAACUUAUUUUCUAUUGUACACCGUAACCGCAGUGAGUUGGGAACAUUAUGGUGCGUAAAAAGCGUAGCUCUUUUCACUGCUCUGCAAUGAGCUCCUUGGUUCAAGCAGUGUCCACCCUUCCAAACAUAGUCUAAUUUUGAACAAAUGAAGUUGAAACACAUCUACCAAUUCAGUUUGGGUUGGAUUGGGAUAGUUUUAGUAGUUAUUGUAGCGAUCCUUUAUUGUUAGUUGUUAUAUUUGAUUAUAUGUAAAAAGUGUAUGAGAAAGUCGUUUUAUGAAAAUAUAUUUUGUUUAGAUUAUC